rnacentral:lncRNA from 1 species
ACUGAGGUAAAACUAAGCCUAGGACUCUAUUUCAUUGGAAGACACAUAUUUCACCAUCUUUCCAUCCUCCUUACAUUGUUCCCAUAACAUACCUCAGGCAAUUUAUUGAUUUGAGCAUCGAGAUGUGCCUCAAAAUGAUAACUUUGACUCUCCUUAAUCAUGUUUUUUGGUUAUAGGUUACAGCUGUCCCCUCCCCAACCUUAUUUCCUUUCCUUAGUUAAGACAUUAGAAAAUACUAUCAACAAUUGAUGCCAUCUGUGGGAACGACAACCAUGUCACAACAAUCACAUUCUUUUGAGACAUUAGUUCCCACCAUUAAUGCUACCACUCGACGUGCAACUACUAUUGAGGUAACAUCUUUCUUAUUGACCUCUCCAUAAAUUCUUUCAUCGAAGUUACCUUAUUGGGGCUCUUAAUUUCCAAUCAUCAACUUUUAUUAAAUACUUGUGCUUUACAACCUUUAGGCCAUUAUCAAAGUUUAAUGGGAGCUUUAUCCUCGAACAUGACAUUGACACCAUCGUUGGUCCACAUGUAACACCUAGACCUUUGAACCAUAUUCCCCAACUACUCGUAACACAGAUCCACUCCUUACAACCCAUUAAUGCUAGUGUGUGGCCAAACAUUCCCCUUGUAACUUCCAUUAUGUCUGUUUCACUUCCAUGUCCAUAAAUCCCAACACACCCACCAAUCACUCAAACAGCAUCAGACUUUUAUGAAACCCUUAUGGCUCGAAUACAACUCUUAAACACCCAAAUGGCCACCUAGCAAAAAUUACUCCAACAAUACCAACAAGCAACUCAACAACCUCUCAAGAUUGACCCUACCCUAAAGAAAAUUCAACAUAUUCUUUCAGAAAACCACCACCACUUCAAAACAUAGCUUGACUUGAAGAAACUUAUCCCAAAUAGUCAUGACGAGACCCACCAUCAUGAUUGGGCAUAUACAAAUGCUGACCUGGAAAACAAACUAGCUGCACAAGUCAUAAUCCUAUGCAAAGAGUUAGCUGAGCCUAGAAAAGACAAAAAUAAAGACCUUUAGUGGUUGGAAGAUGACUACAACCCUUUUACCCCUACCAUUAGAUAAGUUGACAUGCCACAUUCUCUUAAACUACCAAAAGAUACUUAUAAUGAAACCAUCAACCUGGUGGACCAUUUAAACCAUUUUAGGAUCUUUAUGGACUUAUAUAAUACAUUUGAUGUAGUAAAGUGUAGGGUUUUUCCUACCAUUUUAUGUGGGAGAGCCAAGACAUGGUUCUAUUAUGUAGCUCUUACACCAUAGAUAGUUUUGAUGCUUUAAAUAGG